CUCCCCCCAAAAAUAUGAGAUUGGCUCAAAAAUCAUGAGAUUUUAUUUUUUUUAAAUAAUACACUUUUUGGGUUCUUUUAUUUUCCUUUUGGUUUUCGAGCCUUUAGGGUACACAUGGGUUACGUCUCCAUACUUUACUUUUCUCACCAUACUUUUAAAAAAAUGAAAGCUGAGAUUUUCUUGUAGUCAUAGUUCCAGAGGCUUUAAGGAAAAACACCAAAUAUCAUGAUGCUCACAAUACAAGGAUGAGAGCUGACAAUGCUGAAUUAGGGUUAGUCUGCUGGGGUUUAAUUUAGUCUCCUGUCAUGAAAAUUACGAAAGCUUCAACUUGAACUGCAGGGCUCAGCGUGGGCAUAUUUCCAGCAUUUGUAAACACCAUUAGAUUAAACAGUGUACACAGUCUUUAUGAAGGGGAAGCCUUUUUGCCUGCUUCAGAUGUUUCCUUAUUUCACAUGUUCCUUGGCUCGUGCUGGCUUAUUGUGAAUCUAUUUUUUUUUUUUUGUGACCUAUGCAGAGAUAAUGCUGUACUCGUGAUUUUCAGUUCAUAAAGACAGGACAGAGUUGUGGCUGUUCCAUGUGGAAUUAAGCUCUUCCUAGAUGCCCUGGCCCUACAGGCCAGCAGCUACAUGGGCCUCAUCUAUUACACCAGCCAUCUUGAGCUCACUCAGGAUCAUUUUAGUACUAGCCCCACAGUAGGAGUUCUUGGGAAUUUCCCAUGAAGGUUUCCCCGGAAAGUUGACAGUUAUUUUAUUACGAAAGCAAAAUCCUUUCUUUUCCCAUCCCUGGUUGAGCUGUUUGAUUUCUGUUUAUCUAAUUUCCUUCAUGCUGAAGAGUUUCCUGAGGAGAACUCCACCGUCCAGAUGAAAAGCCCUGAGCAGCAGCAGCAGAAAUUUCCCAAAAUGAAUCGUGGAUGAAAUGCCAAAUGGAAUAAGAAAUAUUGAACAAGCCUCUCAGAAGAUUAUGGCUGUCUAACUCCUCACACAGGGUGAUGGCUCAGAAACACACCCCACUCCACCCCCGACAUGUGACCUUGGGGGACAACUGCAGAGAGGAGCCAGAGACUCCAGCCAUCGGCAGCUCAGAAGUCCAGUCAAAGUGACCCUGGCUACCUCCACACCAACCACACCCUAUAUCACCUCUCUGUUUUUGGAGCGAGCAGAGGCAGCAGCUGAUGGAGACUGUCCUACCCUAUGGGAAACCUGGAUUUGGGAAGGAUUUUGAGAUUGUGUUGGCAGAGACAAAGCACAUCCUGGACAGGGGCCAGGGCUGCAGGAGUCAUGCCCCAAGUCUUUAGGCUGGAGGAUGAAGGGCACUUGCAUUUCUCUCUAGAACUCUGAAAGACUAUUGCGGAAAUACUAACAUGCAUUGCACAUUCCUGGACACCAUCCAGAGACGAAAGAACAUGUAUGUCUGGAACUCUCCGAAAAACCAGCCUUUCUGCCAGAUCGUGUCUGUGAAGUGAGUUGCACUGUCACACAAGGGAUAUGUGUCUUAGUCUAAGGUUCCCAGGCAAGUGGUAUCAAGGCAGUAGGGUCAGGCCAUGUGGUAGAGGAAAGAGUAACUCUUGCUGGCUUUCAAAGAAAUAAUAGUAAGGUCUUCAGAGCGUCAAUUCCAAUCUUCUUCAGCUGCAAGCAGAUAUGGCCCUGAUCCUGACAGAUAUUUGGGCUUCUCACUCCUAUUAAAAUCAAUGGAAGUUAGGUACCUACAGACCUUUGAAGAACUGGGUCCACAUCACUACACUAAAGUGGAGUAGAGAGUAAAAAAAGAGGGAAAGACAGAGCCAGUGGGGUGGCAUGGGUUAGUUAAGUGCAGAAUUUGUCUAAAUGUUUUUCCUAAGAGCUCAUUGCAGCCUAUUGACACGAGGUUGAUGUCCUACCAGACUUGCUCAAUGGCAGCCUGAGCAUUUUCAUGUCUGAACAAAUUCACAGUAAGAAUUUUUGUGGGCUAAAAAUAAAAGACUAGAUAUUUUGGUUUUGAACGAUGGGCUUUUAUAUAAACAUCCCCCUCAGAAGUUCAUAAAUAGUAAAGUAGAAAUUGCCUCAUUGGAUCAGACCCAUGGUUCAUCUAGUCCAGUAUCCUGUCUACGAUGCUUCAGAGGAAGAUGCAAGAAAUCCUGAAGUGGGCAUUCAUUGGGAAAGUUUCUUCCCAACUCCCAUGAAUUAGAGGUUGGCUUGUGCCUUUCCCAACUUUUGUGGCUUUUUAAAUUAAUCCUUACUAAUGCUGUACCACUGCGUGUUUUCUUUAGGCAUACAAGUGCCCAGUCCUCUUUGGAAUCCUACUAAAAUGUU